rnacentral:rRNA from 1 species
GGAUUAGAUACCCUGGUAGUCCACGCCGUAAACGAUGUCUACUAGCCGUUGGGGGGCUUGACCCCUUAGUGGCGAAGCUAACGCGAUAAGUAGACCGCCUGGGGAGUACGGUCGCAAGAUUAAAACUCAAAUGAAUUGACGGGGGCCCGCACAAGCGGUGGAGCAUGUGGUUUAAUUCGAUGCAACGCGAAAAACCUUACCAGGCCUUGACAUCCUGAGAAUUCGGUAGAGAUACCUUAGUGCCUUCGGGAACUCAGUGACAGGUGUUGCAUGGCUGUCGUCAGCUCGUGUCGUGAGAUGUUGGGUUAAGUCCCGUAACGAGCGCAACCCUUAUCCUUAUUUGCCAGCACGUAAUGGUGGGAACUCUAAGGAGACUGCCGGUGACAAACCGGAGGAAGGAGAGGAUGACGUCAAGUCAUCAUGGCCCUUACGGCCUGGGCUACACACGUGCUACAAUGGAAAGUACAGAGGGCCGCAAUGCCGCGAGGUGGAGCAAAUCCCAGAAAACUUUUCGUAGUCCGGAUCGGAGUCUGCAACUCGACUCCGUGAAGUCGGAAUCGCUAGUAAUCGCGAAUCAGCAUGUCGCGGUGAAUACGUUCCCGGGCCUUGUACACACCGCCCGUCACAUCAUGGGAGUGGGUUGCACCAGAAGUAGCUAGUUUAACCUUCGGGAGAACGGUUACCA